rnacentral:lncRNA from 1 species
GAGGCCAUAUUUUGAAAUGAAAGAACUAUAUAGAUAUAUUAGAAUUUAAAAAAAUGAUGACAGCAUUUCAGCAUUCAAAAGACAAAUUAUUAUUAAGUUAUCUUGAAUGAAGUUCCUACAAAAUUGAACUAAUCAUAAAAAAGUCGAGUAAAUGAAGUAUCAAAUAUAAAAGCUAAUAUUUUUGCAGAUUUUUUUCAAUUAUAUUAUAUUACAGCUAAAACGAAAGAAUAAGCCUUAUAUUACAACUUCCCAAAAAAAAUUCUCAAAACAAGUUCGACUUUGACUUAUUUUUUCAGUUUAACUUUUUAUUUUCUUUUAGAAUCCUUAACAAAUGGGCAUUGCAAGGUUGCAUGACAAUUUUUUGGCAAUAAAUACAUUAAAAUCAACUUUUUGACUUAUUGUAAUAAGUAAUUAAUAUUUCAGUGACAGGAAAAUUAACCCCAAUUUAAAUAUGUUUAAUAAUCAAUGUUUUUUAUAAAUAUAUUUUGAUUACACAAGGGAAUAAUUAGAAGGUCAAAAUUUGUUAAAAUGAAUGGAUUCAAAUGAUUUUUCAAAUUUAUAUUUGCGCGCAAAAUCCAAAACAAAUCUCAGUCUAUCUCUUAGUCAUCUGUAUUAUUGGAAAUCUGGGACUAUUAUAAUUCAUAGUAAUUUUUUACGGCACUACGUACUUUCGACUUAAACUCUUUUAUCUCAGGAUAUCUUACCUUAAACCAUUAUGCCUCAAGGAUAUUUCCCCUUAAAAUGUAUUAAAAUUAUAUAAUUAUUCUUCAAAAUAUCAUAUAUACAUAUUAUAGAAAUCUCACUAUUCGAAAGGAAGAAGUACUAAUCACAACAAUGUUAUUAAUUAGGAUCUGACAUGACGGAUUAUUCAUGUUAGAAAAGACUCAUGUGUUGACAAACAUAUAUAAUAUGAAGAAAGAGCAUAGUUUCAUAAUUAGUGUAACGGUAAGCAACGUUUAAUCGCUAUAUAUAUUACAUAUUUUGAUUUAAAAAAUCAAAGGGAACAGCAAUUUCAACCAAAAGUAAACAACUUUUAAACACACUUUAAGGAGAAAUGUUCUAAGGCGAAAUGGUUUUAGGGAAAAGUGCUUGGCACCAUUAUUUACUUUUAAAACAAUUUCCAAAUUACAAGUACGACUAAUAAAAGAUAUGUAAAAGGGUUUUUUAUGAUAAUGGAAGUUUGUUUUUUUCAACCGAUUUUUUUUAGAGUGAAUAUUGAUUUAUUCAGUCCAAGGUCGUAAUUAUACAUUAUUGAAAAUUUCACCUAAAAUGCCGGUGUCAUAUGGGAUAAUGACUCCCCAAAAAUAAGUACUCCCUCGUACAAAUCCCAUAUAGGAUAAGUAAUCCCCCGUAUAAAUUCCAUAUGGGAAAAGUACUCCUCCUGUGAAUUAUGUACUACCGUCUAUAUGUAUAUGAUUGAAAUUAUAUUUACAAAUGGAUUAACUAAUUCAGUCACAAUCCAUAAGUGCCAUAAUGUCACAUGUGUCAUUGGAAUGUAUUUAUCAAUAUCUCCUGAAGGGAGUGUGGCCACCAACUGUAUUAACCAAAGGGGAAAAAACCAUCUUCCGAAAGGCAUGUAGACCCUUUACUCUCAUGGACCAAGAACUUUUCUAAAAGAAAGAUAAUUAUGACGAAACUGGAGAGAAACUUGAAGUUUUAUUACGAGUUCUCUUUACAAAAGCUGAACAGAGAAGAGUAAUUUGUUGUGUUCACAAACGUCUGGGAAACAGCAUUGAAAGUCAAAGUAUGAUUGGGCAUCGGGGAGUAACGCCUAUAAUGAACAUUUUAAACAGAUAAUUUUAUUGGUACACAAUGGACUCUGAUAUUCAAGAAUAUUGUAAGUUCUGUUGCAUGUGUCAAAAUGUUAAUAAUAAGUGGAGGCAAGAGAAACUUCCAUUAUGUUCUUGUUCUAAAAGCAGUAAUGGAACUGAUUGGAGUCGAUAAAUAUCACUUCAUGAAUGUGACGGAUAUCAUAACUUUAUACUGGCCAUUGAUUAGGUUUCAAAAUGGACUGAAGGAGAGCCCUUGAAAUAUAAGACAGCAGUUUCAGUUGCAAGCUGUCUAUUUAACCUAAUUUGUCGUCACUCAUGUGUGAAAAUUCAAAUUAAUGAUCAAGGGAGAGUUUGUCAACUCUGUAUCCACAGAGUUGCAUCGACUUAUAGGGAUUCAUCUACGACUAACAGGCCAUCAGUCUGGUGGAGAGGCAGAUUGGAACGAUUAAGACUAAACUUCUUAAGGCUCUACAAGGAAAACCUGAAGGAUGGUGGAAAUGUCUUGAGCUAAUAUUAUUUUCUCAUCGUUUAGCUGUACAUCGAUCAACAAAGAUGACACCAUUUUUUUUCAUGUAUCUGUCAAUUUUGCCUGUAGUCAUUUUCCAAUCAUUUAGAUGAUAGUGACAUGACUGAUAAUGAUUCCAAUUUUGUUUAUGGAAACGAUGUGGAAUAAAUCAGUGAAGUGAGUUUAAUCAAGAUGAAGUGACAAAAGUGAUGGAAAUGAUGAUGAAUAUAAAGGAAAAAACAUUUGUUACAGCAUUCAAUAAUAUCAAGCUUGCAGAGGCAACUUAAAAAACUAAAUACGACCAACUACAAGGACUGACUGGUUCAUCCCUUUCAGAGAGACAGCAAGUUUUACGGAAAAGGAAAGGUGGUAAAACAGCUUUACCUUUCAAAGGCCUUAAUUUAAUUUAAAUAUUUACGACAACAAAGUAGAUACACUGAAAAAUAAAGAAAUAAAAAUACUGAAGACAAAGCAAAACAUUUGUAACUUAUAUCCUUCCUUUGCUUCUCCCAAAGAAGAUAAAAACUUAGAGAGAACAAAUGAAAAAGAGAUUGCAGAAGAUGAUAUAGAAGUCGAGAACAUCGAAAACAUGGCACUUUCCAAUUACAACCCUGUCACUGCUUAUAGGCAAAAUGAAAAAGCUUUCUCAAUUAAAGCUAACUGUUCAGAG